AACGGGUGAGUAACACGUAUCUAAUCUACCUUUUAGUGGGGGAUAACCUUUGGAAACGAAGGAUAAUACCGCAUAAGAUCCUCAUUAUGACAUCAGAAGAAGAGGAAAGAUCCGUUUGGAUCGCUAAAAGAUGAGGAUGCGGCGUAUUAGUUAGUAGGCGGGGUAAAGGCCCACCUAGACGAUGAUACGUAGCCGAACUGAGAGGUCGAUCGGCCACAUUGGGACUGAGAUACGGCCCAGACUCCUACGGGAGGCAGCAGUAGGGAAUUUUUCACAAUGGACGAAAGUCUGAUGAAGCAAUGCCGCGUGAGUGAUGAAGGUCUUCGGAUUGUAAAGCUCUGUUGUAAGGGAAGAGUAAGCCAGGAAGGAAAUGUCUUGGUGAUGACGGUACCUUA
rnacentral:rRNA from 1 species